rnacentral:rRNA from 1 species
AGGUAGUAAUAAAAAUAAAACCUAUCGCAAUGGCGGCAUUUCAUCUAAUUAGAGGAACUUGUUAUUUAAUCGAUAAUCCACGUUAUUUCUUACUUUAUUCAAAAAUUUAUAUACCUCCAUCGAAAGAAUUUUUUUGAAAAUUUAUUCUAAAUGAUAUCAAAAAGUUAGGUCAAGGUGUAGUCCACAAUAAAGAAUUAAAUGAGUUACUUUAAAUAUAAUUUAAGAAACAUUAAUUUCAAAAAUAAUACGAAAAAGGAUUUAUUAGUAAUUUACAAAUAAUAAUUGUUUUUGAAAAAGAUAAUAAAUGUGC